UUACAAGAACACCUUUACCAUUCUACAAAAAGUACAAACUUAUAAGAGUAGAACUUUAGGCUCUUCAUGGAAUGAAUAAGGAUUCCACUUUUAGUUCAGCUGAAUAUAAUAUUAGAAAAUACAAGCAUCACAGAUAAUUAUGGAAAAAAAAAAAAAAAAAUUGUGGCAAGUUUCGGAGAGAAAGACAAGGAAACAGAGUAAAGGCAGAACAUAAAACACUUACAAGGUGUACUAGUACUAGAUGAACAAGAGAAUGGGAAUCAAAAGGGUUUUGGCGAGGGUUUCUUGCCAAAUAUAGCCUCCCAAAGUGAAGAAGAUAAUGGUGCAUUUUUAUCCAAGAACUCUCUUAUAGCUUUGUCAUUAAGGAAAAAUCCCUUUUGCCGCAAAGCAGCAAUAACCCUCUGGGCUUCUUCAACGCCCUUCUCUCUACAUAACCCAUCAACCAAACCCACAAAGGUAGUGACAUUGGGAGAAUGACCAGCGUCCAACAUUUGGAAGGAGAAAUCAACAGCAUCAUCAAGCAGCUUACAUUUAUACAAUCCCUGAAUCAAGACUAUGUAACUGAAAGCAUUAGGAGCUAUGCCAUUAUCAAGCAUUUUCCUGAAAAUCCUCUUGGCAUCAUCGAGCUUGUGGGCUUUGCAGAAGCCAUCAACAACUGCUGUGUAAACAACAACAUCCGGCAUGGUACCCUUCUCGCGCAUCAAGCCAAACAAUUUCAUGGCUUCCUGGACGAGGCCAUCUUUGCAAAGCCCAUCAAGCAUGGCUACAGCAUUAGGGAUGAGCCCAGUUUCCUUCAUCUUCUUGAAGAUGUCCUCGGCAUCUGGAGGAGGCGAAUCGAUGCUUUUUCCUUCUUUAGUAUUAGUAGCAGCGCUAGCAUUUAGACGAGGAGAAUCGAUGCUUUUUUCUUCUUUAAUAUUAGCAGUAGCACUAGCAGCAGUAGGAUUGUUUGGUAGGGGGAUUUCGCUGUCCUUGUUUCUGUCAAGGCGGAGCUUGAAUUUCUCGAGAAAAGCAUCAUCUGAUGGGUGAUGUUGAUGUUGAUGUUGAUUGGUAUUUCUAGGCGAGCCAGAGAGCUUAACAUUUCUGGGUCCUCUCGGAGUAGGGUAAGACUCAGACCGAGAAUUGUACGAGGGCCUCUCGCCCCUGUCGCCUCUUAAGGGUCUGUUUGGUAUGGGAUGAGGCGGAUUCUGGACUUCUCUUGCAUCAUUAUCUUCAUCAUUGGAAUUGAAAUUGGAACCGAAACCAGUUGUCGGCUCUCGCUUGUAACUAAAAUGGCGUAGAUUUUUGGAAACGAAGCUGGCAAACUGGGAAUGGGGCUUCACUCUAAUGAGCUUCAAUGAUCGACUGUGCGAGGACGCCAUUGUUGAAUAGAAUGAAGGGAUGGAUCCUGCUUCUGCACUAUAUGAUUUCAAUUUCGAAUAUGGAGAAAAUGCUAGGGUUUUAGGGGGAAUUAGCUGAGGUAGUGCUAGUACCCUGCUAAGGUCACGACGAGGGCAUUUUGGUCUUUUUGUGACCAAAGAAAGGAAUUGAUACUAUAAAUAGCGUAACAUCGAAAGACAUGAGCCGGCGGCUCUUGGUUGAAGAAGAUAAGGCUUUUCUUUUUCUAUUUGCUGUUGAUUACCCAAAAUUUUCCAUGGCUGUGCACCUUAUGGUUCUGGUUAUUCCCAAUUAGAAAGCUCUUUGCUUUUGCUCGCUCGCUAGGAAAUAUGGAACUGGCCAGCACUUCAAAUGCUAGUAGCAUUUUGUGGUUCUUCAGGGAUAGAGGUUUUGAUGAUAAGAGCAUUCAUGAAUUGUUUAGAAAGUGCAAGCGCCUCGAGGACAUUCAAAAGGAAAGAGCAUCUGAAAAUUGGUCUUACCUGAAAAGCAUUGGCAUUCAAGAGAGAAGGCUUCCUUAUGUUAUUUCGAAGUGCCCCAAAAUCCUUACUCUAGGCCUCAACGAGAAGCUCAUCCCAAUGGUUGAAUGCCUUGCUACACUAGCCACAAAACGACGUGAAGUUGCUUCUGCCAUAACCAAGUUCCCUCACAUACUUUCUCAUAGUCUUGAAGAGAAGCUUUGCCCACUUUUGGCAUUCUUUCAGGCACUAGGUGUUCCUGAAAAGCAACUUGGCAAGAUUAUAUUGCUCAACCCACGGCUAAUUAGUUACAGCAUUAAUCCCAAGCUAACAGAGAUUGUGGACUUUCUUGCUGGUCUUGGCCUUAACAAGGACGGAAUGAUUGGUAAAGUCCUGGUGAAACACCCCUUCAUAAUGGGUUAUAGUGUCGACAAAAGACUACGUCCUACGUUGGAGUUUAUGAAGUCUGUUGGCCUGACAGAGUUGAAUCUUCAAACAGUGGUCAUGAACUUCCCUGAAGUUUUGUGUAGAGAUGUGAACAAGAGCCUGCAGCCCAAUCUAACUUAUUUAAAGAGAUGUGGAUUUGAGGAUCGACAAAUAGCAGCUAUCGUGACUGGUUAUCCCCUUAUUCUGAUCAAGAGUAUUAGAAAUUCUUUGGAACCUAGGAUCAAAUUUUUGGUAGAAGUAAUGGGGAGACAAAUUGAUGAAGCUGCUGAUUAUCCCAGCUUCUUUCAGCACAGUUUGAAGAAGACUGUGGAGUCUAGGCACAAACUUUUGAAACAGAAAAAAGUAGAAUGUAGCUUGAGAGAGAUGCUGGAUUGUAAUCAAAAGAAGUUCUUAAUGAAGUUUGGUUUAGACUAGUUUGUUCUUGCAGUUGCUUUUAUCUGUGAGUAAAUUCAACUUGUACAUGGAUUUGCGCCGAUCCAUGAGAAUUCAAGUUUCCUGACUUCAUUUGGAUGGAUAUGUGUUCAAUGUUUAUCUUCAUUUUCAGAGAAAGUUCUUGGCAUGUUUGUGAGACGGUAAUCUCUAUGUAUGCACUCUGCAGACUGCAGGAUGUAUCAAAGCUAUAAAAAUAUCCUGGUACCACUUAUGGAUACUAUUCAGGUAUCAAGCUGAUCAAAUAUUUG
rnacentral:misc_RNA from 1 species